UAAUCCAGAACAGCUCAGACGUGAUUCUGAACACAUCAGCUCUGAGAUCUUCAAGCUCCACUGAACUUCUCCAGAUUCUUUCUGUCAUUGUGAAGAAACAUCUUGAAGAAUGAGAAGCUUGAUGUGUGUGCUGCUCCUGCUGAUCUUCUGCUCCAAGCAGGGCACUUCAGAGCAUCAAGCUGCAGGUCCAGCUGCAGGUCCAGUUGCUGAGAAAUGUUGCUGGUCUUUUAUUGAAUUUCAAAUUCCAACCUCAAAAAUUGUCAGUGCUGUGGAGACAGAUUCACAUUGCCCUGUGCCUGGCAUUGUGGUUACGACACGUAGAACUGAAUUUUGUGUGGACCCAGCCGAGGCUUGGAUACAGAGCUUCAUGGAGAAAAGUCAAUGGAAAUAAAACACAAUACAUUUGCACAAAAUAAUACUGUUGUAAUGAUUUAUACAACAGGUUUUGUUUUUUUUUUUUUGUUUUUUUUUUGCUGUAUCUCAUCAAUAUUACAAGAUAUGUUAAAAAAAAACGUGCUAAAUGUUAAUCAUGUUUACAUUUAGCACUCAAUAUGAUGUCAUGUGCAGAAUGACAAUACAAAUAAAUAUUACAAUGCUUGGACAUUAGCAGAUGUCUCAACAUGGUGUCAAACUCCUAUGAAUUUAUGAAGAUUCAUGUAGAUUUAAGUAUUAAUAAAUACUCGUAGAGAAAGACAGCAAUACUGCAAUUAGCAUAAAAUUCACACUUAUAAAGAAAAAUAAUAAUUAAUAUCAGACAGAUUGUUUGUUUCUGGCUUGUUUUCAGUCCUGUGUCUGGUGGUCAGUCUUCCUAAGUUAAGUGCUUGAAUUAAACCCGUCUGAACAGUUAAUCAAGCUCUUUGGGUUUACUAAAUCAUAAUUCAGAGGAUGAUGGAGAUAUUCUGAUUUAGUGCUGACACGACUGAAGAAGAGAAGAUGUAGGCCAUGUUAUUCUCCUGAAGUGAACUUUCAGUAAACUCUCAAAGAAACGUCUUCUUCACAUUCUCAAGCACAGCAAAGAGAAAGAAGAAGAAACACAAUAAACACAACAGACUUCCAGCACUUUGUACUCGGACCCUAAUAAUAUUUAUAUUCUCAGAAAUGGAUUUACAAGAAUGUCUUAUGAUAUAAAUUAUCUAAUAUAAUGAAGUACAUCAUUCUGGACACAUCAGUGAGACACAAAGUA